UAAGACAGGGGAUGCAAGCGUUAUCCGGAAUGAUUGGGCGUAAAGCGUCUGUAGGUGGUUUAUCAAGUCUUUUGUCAAAGAUCAGGGCUUAACUCUGGGCAGGCAGGAGAAACUAAUAAACUAGAGUUCGGUAGGGGCAGAGGGAAUUCCCGGUGGAGCGGUGAAAUGCGUAGAGAUCGGGAGGAACACCAAAGGCGAAAGCACUCUGCUGGGCCGCGACUGACACUGAGAGACGAAAGCGAGGGGAGCAAAUGGG
rnacentral:rRNA from 1 species